UACAAAAAUAGGCAAAGAGACCCUCAACAAAAGACCCGUUGAAUAACAUAACGGGUCUCUUUAAUAUAGGAGAUCUUAUAUUAGUGAUAACGGGUCUCUAAUGUGUACGGGACCCACAAAUCGUACCAAGUCUAAAAGAGAAAAGACCCCCUAAAUAAGCUAACGGGUCUCUACUUGUCAUCGGGUCCACUAGUAUUGCGGUUGAAAAAAAAAAAUUGGGACGAAGACCUAAUAGCUAAGAACACGGGUCUCUUUCUUCCUCCUAAAUUACAAAAAUAAAUAAAAUUCAUUGCCUUUUGUUCUUUCAAACUCGCCAGCCUCCCAGCCUCCAAACUUCCAAACUCACACUCUUUCAUCCUUUAUCACUACGCUCCGGUAGCUCAGACUUCCCCAAAGUUCGGAGUGGCUGGACUCCAUAAAUCAUCGAUUAAUUCACCGAAAAAUGGUCGGUUAGAAAGGAGUUGAUCGGCGUUGUCGUCGUCUUGAACAUCGGUGUUGUCGUCAUCUUGUCGAUGUUUAAUUCGAUGAUGGUUCGAUCUAUUGAUCGAUCCCGAUUCAAUGUGUUCUUGAGGUUGCGCCACAUUUUGGGGAGAAUAUGGUUGUGAUUUUUUCUAUGGAUGGUACCGACGGUCUUGUUCGUGGUCAACCAUUUUAAACAUUGGAUCUUCUAUUACUGAACCCCGUCAACAUAUGAAUUUUGGACAUAACAAAAAAUUGCAUUCUUGUGGAUGGAUCGAAGAGGGAUGGACUUCAUAAUUCUCGUUGAGUGAUGUAAGACUUGUGGCCUAAUUUGAGCAUGUAAAUUACAGUAAUAUAUGCUAGCAAAAUGGGAAAAAAGGAGGUUGGUUUCAGCAAUUAAGAGGAUCUUUGCAGAUAGCUCCAAGGAGAAAGUGGCUUAUGAUGUCAUGUUGAAUCACAUGGGGAACAUAGUUGGAGGCGAACAUAUGCUUUUGCCCGCAUUGGGAAGUUCAGAUUCAGAAACCACCCAAACAGAGUUGGAGGCCAACAUAUGAUUUUGCCCGCAUUGCUAAUAAUUAUUAUUCUCAAUUUUUUAAUCUUGUCACAAUUAUGUACACUUUUGAGCUUUAUUUUAUUUUAUAUUUUUGGAGAUUACAAUUGAUGUAAAUGUGAAUUUUUUUUUGUAAUUUUACGAAUUAUUUGGAAUUACCAAAUUGGUUAAAUGCUGAUUUUUAGG